rnacentral:rRNA from 1 species
UACGGAGGGUGCAAGCGUUGUCCGGAUUUAUUGGGUUUAAAGGGUGCGUAGGCGGCCUUAUAAGUCAGUGGUGAAAGCCCACAGCUCAACUGUGGAACUGCCAUUGAUACUGUAAGGCUUGAGUACAGACGAGGUAGGCGGAAUUGAUGGUGUAGCGGUGAAAUGCAUAGAUACCAUCAAGAACACCGAUUGCGUAGGCAGCUUACUAGGCUGUAACUGACGCUGAGGCACGAAAGCGUGGGGAGCGAACAGGAUUAGAUACCCGAGUAGU